rnacentral:tRNA from 1 species
GGUCUCAUGGUGUAAUGGUUAGCACUUUGGACUCUGAAUCCAACAAUCCGAGUUCGAGUCUCGGUGAGACCU